GAUCCACAGAAGGUAAUAGUCCUGUAUGUUAAACGAGAAGACUUUAGAUAUGAUCCAGAGUACCACGGGACACGUGAAACCCUGUGGGAAGCAGGAGGGACCACCCUCCAAGGCUAAAUACUACCUAGUGACCGAUAGCGUAUAGUACCGUGAGGGAAAGGUGAAAAGAACCCCGGGAGGGGAGUGAAAUAGAACCUGAAACCCUGCACUUACAAGCUGUGGAAGCACAUUUCUUGUGUGACCGCGUACUUUUUGUAGAACGGGCCAACGAGUUACGUUAAGUAGCAAGGUUAAGCACUUAAGGUGCGGAGCCGUAGCGAAAGCGAGUUUUAACUGAGCGUUCAGUUACUUGACGUAGACCCGAAACCGGGCGACCUACCCAUGAGCAGGAUGAAGCGAAAGUAAAAUUUCGUGGAGGUCCGAACCCACGAGCGUUGAAAAGCUCGGGGAUGACUUGUGGGUAGCGGUGAAAUUCCAAUCGAGCCCGGAGAUAGCUGGUUCUCCCCGAAAUAGCUUUAGGGCUAGCCUC
rnacentral:rRNA from 1 species